rnacentral:rRNA from 1 species
UACGGAGGGGACUAGCGUUGUUCGGAAUUACUGGGCGUAAAGCGUGCGUAGACGGCUAUCUAAGUCGGGUGUGAAAGCCCCGGGCUCAACCUGGGAAUUGCAUUCGAGACUGAAUAGCUAGGGUACGGUAGAGGGAAGUGGAAUUUCCGGUGUAGCGGUGAAAUGCGUAGAUAUCGGAAGGAACAUCAGUGGCGAAAGCGACUUCCUGGACCAGUACCGACGUUCAGGCACGAAAGCGUGGGGAGCAAACAGG